rnacentral:sRNA from 14 species
GGGAAGGAUGAGAAGCUUCGACUAAGGUUCGAUUCGAGCGCAGCGAGAAAGCGUUGCCGCAGGCAACGACCCGAAGGGCGAAGCGCGCAGCGCUGAGUCAUCCUUCCCCCACCACCA